rnacentral:rRNA from 1 species
GAUGAACGCUGGCGGCGUGCCUAACACAUGCAAGUCGAGCGAGAAGUUUGAAAAAUGAGUUUUCGGACAAGUGAUUCAAACGGAAAGCGGCGGACGGGUGAGUAACGCGUAGGCAACCUGCCCCGUGCAGAGGGACAGCCUCGGGAAACCGGGAUUAAGACCUCAUGAUAUCGGGUUAUCACAUGGUAAUCCGGUCAAAGAUUUAUCGGCAUGGGAUGGGCCUGCGUCUGAUUAGCUGGUUGGUGGGGUAACGGCCUACCAAGGCGACGAUCAGUAGCAGAACUGGGAGGUUCAUCUGCCACAUUGGAACUGAGACACGGUCCAAACUCCUACGGGAGGCAGCAGUGAGGAAUAUUGCACAAUGGGCGAAAGCCUGAUGCAGCAACGCCGCGUGAGCGAAGAAGGCCUUUGGGUCGUAAAGCUCUGUUCUUGGGGAAGAAACAAAUGACGGUACCCUUGGAGGAAGCCCCGGCUAACUACGUGCCAGCAGCCGCGGUAA